rfam:Desulfuromonas sp. DDH964, complete genome.
UCGUUUGACAGACCCUCUCAUCCGGGCGAGAAGGCCAAUAUCUUCAAAGCCCGAUAGCCAUCCGGGAGGGUGGGGCUGUAGAUGCGG